rnacentral:lncRNA from 13 species
AGCUACUUCUGGAUAAGAUCUCAGGUGUUGGGAGAACUGACUCAGUACCCCGGAAGUAUGUCAGCAAUCCCCCGGAAGUAUGCCAGCAUAUAAAACCCCAAGUCAAAAGGCCAAACUGUGCACUCAUCUUCAGGUCUGCAGCUUGGCCGUCUUCCAAGUGAACCUGCCUUUCAUUCCUGGUCUCACACUUGCCUUGGCCUCUACUGCCUGAUGCCCCUCAAUAGGAAUGCCUUCUUCUGAGGAGGCAAGAAUUGAGGUUGCUGUAGACCUGAUACAGAUUUCCCACCGCUAACAUAUUUUGGUGCUGUGUGACUCAGAUAAGGAAAUGGAGGCUCAGAGUUGGCAGAUAACAUGUUCAAGAUCUUGAAACUAGCAGGUGGCAGAGCUGAGAUUCAUCCGUCUGCAUGUACUCAGGACUAUUCCCUGGACAGAGGCUCAGAUCCUGACCUGUCCAAAUUUUGGCAUCUCUACCAAACUAUGGAGACCUAGCUACCAACUGGCUCUGCUUUGGUGUCACCAAUUGGGUUCUGUGUUGCCACAUAUUCCAAGAGGGCUGCCUGAAGUUCAGUCAUCUUCUCAGCAUUCCAGGAAGCAGGUACAAAGCAGAAGAGAGGCAAAAAGUACGCCUGGCCGGGCUGAUCAAUUAUGCCACAAGGAAGUAAUGGAAUGGGGCUCAGUAAAGGACCAAAAUGACUAAAAUAUUUCUACUAACAAAGGAAGUGAGAAGAGGAGCAGAUCUGGCUUGGGCUUGCACAGUGGAAAUUGUCUUGCUACACUCUCCACUACCAAUGUGAGAAACAG